AACGCCCGGGUGCAGGCAAGUGUCUGGCCGUGGGCGGUCCCCGGGCUCUCGGGAACCUGUGGGCGGAGGCGAGGGCUUGCGCCAGCCUAGAACCCCUGGGGCAGGGAGAGCCUACGCAGUGGGGCGCCUAGCACCGCGGAAGCCAGAGGAGCUGGGAGGCUGCCUUCCCCCAUGCCAUCAUUGCCACUGGCAUGGCCCACGCCAUCCUAGCUGCCUGUACCCAGGGUAACCUCAGUGACUGUGGCUGUGACAAGGAGAAGCAAAGCCAGUACCACCGGGACGAGAGCUGGAAGUCGGGUGGCUGUUCUGCCGACAUCUGCUACGGCAUCGGCUUCGCCAAGGUCUUUGUGGAUGCCCAGGAGAUGAAGCAGAAUGCCCAGACUCUCAUGAACUUACACAGCAGUGAGGCAGGCUGAAAGGUGGGCACCUGGGCGGCUCUUGCAGAGAUGCUGUGGAACAGCUUGUUUGUAACCCUGGCUCUGGGUGUCUGGUGAUAGCCACGGGGCUCUGCCCUCAGCCUCGUUCUGCUUGGCUCUGGCGUUGAUCCGCUACAGGUCAGGGUUUGUGCCUGCCUGUCAGUUACUGGAGAGGUUGGAGAGCUGAGUCUCCACUAAGACAAACUGGAUGUUGCUCAACAAGACAGAAAGUGGGACAGAUGUGAACUCUUAUCCUUGGCAGGGGCCAAGCAGGUCAUCCUCCCACUACCCCUCCCUCCACGCUCUUCUCAGGCUUCUGGCCACAUCCUGUGUGUCAGAACCUCCCAGGUGGCCAUGAGUUUGGCUUCUUUCCUGUUGAGAAGGCUGGCACCCAACAUGGGGCUCAGAGAAGACUCAGAACCCCCGAAGGAGCAGCUGGAACUCGGGGCCAGGCACUGGCAUCAUCCUUUUCGGCUCCCCGGACUCCGAGCUUCUCCUCUGGCGGAACUGGCUUUCAGAUCACCAGUGACUGUGUCUGGAUCUAAUGGAGAAACCUAAGCAUCAAACAGAGAUCCUUGACUUUGAGCAGGAUGCAAGAACUGGAUGGGAUUCUGCGUCUUUGAAUCUCCACAGAAGAAACCUUCCCACUCAUGAGGAACACUGUGUUCAACUGUUAGGGGACGAGAUCAUCUGCUGACAGUAAGAGAGUAGAGUGGAAGUUGGAGAAAAUGGAGAAGGUUGGAAUAGACACUGGUGAAUGGGAGAGCCAAGCCAAGAAGCCAAGGGAAGCUGAUGGGUACCACGGAGUGGGGGGACUAUGCCAUAUGAGGCCCUCAGUCUGUGGUCAGUGAAUGAAGAGCAGUGAAACCGGAAGAACAUCAGGGUGAAAACAAUGGAUCUGAGUCAGCAUCAUGUAGCUCGGAGUCACUCUUGUGGGGUCUGCUGUCAAGGUGCUGGGGCUCAAAUCCCAAUCUGAGCCUCCUGGGUGUGUGCACCGUUCAGGCCACCGAGUGAGCAGGACAAGGGGCAGAUGAAAUGCGAAAGGGAACAUGUCAUGAAAAUUGCUGAAGCUGAGAGCUAACUGGAGGUCAGUGACUAUUUUACUUGGGCAUGUAUUUUUAAAUUCCCAUAAUAAAAUUAAAUCCUCCAAUACCUAAAUAAUGGCGCCAAACUUGCCUGCAGAGUACAGCCACGCCCCCUCUAGGCACCAACUUGCUAUGCUUCCCUAUGGUGAACAGCCCUCCUCCAGUCAUGGGGACACACCCUCCUCUCCCCUCCCCCUACCCCGUGCUGAACCCUGGUCUAUUCCAAUUCCCCAUUGCACUCUGCUUGGCCCUCCUCAGUGUGGGCCGCACCCUUUGCCCUCACGUGUCCAGAGGUCAGGCUGGUCCAGGGCGCUGGUCACACCCUCUGCCUCUUCUGCACUCUCUCCGCCCACUGCAACCCCCCUAGCACAGUCACCACCGUCUCCCUUGGGUGGCUGUACCAGCCUGUCGGCAGGUCUCCCAGCCUCAGGUUUUUAUUUUCUCCAACUUGUUCUCCCCACUGUGGCCCCCAUGAACUUUCUCCAGGACAGAUCAGAGCCCUGUGUUAGUUAAGACCUCUCCAUGGCUGGGUGCACAUGUAAGAUAAAGCCCACGGUCCUGAAUGCACCACCUGGCCCCUGAAGAGUCCUGCCUCCUCUGUGCCGCCUUCACCCUCAUCAGCAGCAGGUCGGCCACCCUGAACUCUUCAAGUUCCCCAAACGUCCCUGGUCUAGGUCCAUGGCACACCUUGCCACAGGCUAGAACACUCCACCUCUGCCUCUUCUCCCAGGAGCUCGGGCUGCCUGCCGGGGCUCUCCCUGAAAGGGGAGGGGCCCCCCAGAGCAUCUGUGUGUGGGGCCAGGAUUGCUCCCCGGGCUGUUGCACCUGGCACUGCUCAGGUUCUCCCCACAACGCACAGAUCUCUGUGGAGAAAGCUGAGCUGAUGCUCCACUAACUACGCUCAGAUAAAGAAAGUUGUCCCCACCCUAAGAAACUGCCAUUCUGUUUAUGCUGCUUCUUUCCUUGUAGCGGGAGAAAGGCCCUGGCAGAAGUCUGAGCAAGGUCAGAGCUCCCACCCCAUAAUGCCCUUCCCCUCCCUGCUCCUCCCAGCCUUGGCACUGCUGGGCCGAGGCCUCCAGAGGCCGAUUUGCAGCGUCAGAAGAACCUUAUUCUCUCCCUCUUAGUAUCUGUCAAUCAGAAAUGAAAGAACAAUACAGGGCAUCUUGGACCAGCCUGCUCCUGGUUUCUUCUGUGAAGUCUGAUAGGAAUGUGAUACUUUUCUGAGCCUCUUAAGCGAACCUGGGACCCUUUCCUAACUGGCUGCUUUUCUAAUGAGCUCUUUCUGUUCACAUGCUGGCUUUCAGCUCUUCUGUCUCCAUGCCCUGAGAUGGUGCACUCUUGUCACUUUGCUAGCAAUUAAUAAACUCAGAUACAUGCCCAAGACGGCAUGUUUUAAGGCCACAGACCUAGCAUACCCCUUGAGACCCUCUGUGAUGCUGCCCAGUCUUCCCCUGCCUGGACUCCUAAGUUAACCGCCGCUGACCCAUCUGCCAUGCCCUGAAUACAGCUGCAUCCUUGGGGGUCCUCCCCUGUUGGCUACACCUUCUAUAAUCCUCCCCCGUGGGCCUGCCAACUCUGCCAGGAGCCUUCUCCCUCAACUCGACCGGACCGGUGCGGCCCUGUCCCAGCACCUCCCAGGCCCCUUCUGGGAGCCCGUGGUUCUGCUUAGCUCUGGAACCCCACCUCCUGUGCAGGGCAUGGCAUGUCCAAGGGACUUGGAAAACAUAUGUUGAGUAAUUUAAAUUUAGUCAGAUAGAUGGCAGGCUGGCUUUGCCUCAUACUUAUGUGCUGCCAUGAUCAUUUUUCCCCUUCUGCUCCAGGCUUCUGCUGGUCCCCUUGUCUGGACAUCUUGGCGGAGCAACCCAUGCUGGGGUUUAGAGUGGGGAAGUGGGGGUCGGGGCUGCAUCGUCCCGCAGUAACCCUCUGGGACUCCCUCCUGGUGGGAGGCUCUUCUUCCAGGAACCUGGAGGCCACCUGGGUCCCCUGCACACAGUGAUCGGGACACCUCGGCAUGGACCCAGUCAGCCACUCUGAAAAUCAGGUCUCGUCUCGGCCGUGGACACUGCACUGUAAUGGUUCUCAACACAACCAGUAAACCUGAAACGUGUGAGAAGGAGCGAACUCCAGCAAGAGAAGCAAUUAAUGACACAGACCCGUUAAGUCAACUAAUAUUAUUAAACUUUGAAAUUUAGAAAUUGCC